UUACCAAUAUUAAAUCAAGUUUGUUGAAAUUUCAUUUAUUUGAGUUUUUUUUUUUUUACAGAUAUGGAACCAACUCUUGUACUACAGUAAAAGAUGGGAACUUCUAUGGUGCCGCCUUCAAAUUGAAGGUUCCAAAACCGUCCAUGCAAUUGGCCAAUAGGAGCAAAGCCCUAACUUUCCCAAAUUUGCCCUAGCCACGUCAUCAUUAUAUGGUGUAGGAGUAUAUGGUACAUCAGCAUUUACUUUUCUUUCAAACCCCUAACUUUUUACUUAUUACAUUAUAUGCUUCUUUUAUUUUAUUAAAUGUAUUCAGUUUUAAUUCAACAUAUAAUUAAUUUCCAACUCUUACAAAAAAUUUAUAUCCAAAUUCCUUCAUUAUACUUGUUCUUCAUUAGUUCAUCACUCAGGAACUGGUCCUCUCUUCUCUCUGCUCGAACAAAAAAACCCAACCACGGCCAAACACUCAUCACCCACCACCGCCCUUCUCCGUCUUUAAAAAAUCUAGAUGUUGUGGGUGGUGGUGCGACGAGUGGCUUUGCCCUCCGCAUCACUUCUUUCACCCGGUAGGGAUUGCUAACGUCAGAUCUGUAAUCACUUCUUUCACCCGGUAGGGAUUGCUAACGUCAGAUCUGUAUGCGACGGUGGUCAGUGUGCUUUCCGGCGGCCGUUGCAGUGCCGUUGUGCUGGUGUUUUGCUUGUUUCAUCUGUUUGGAUCUUGAACUCAUAUGGGUUUGUCUUCACCUCCCUGGUUUAUAGUUUUUGAUUAUGUUCUUGCUUUUGGGUGUCUCUGCUUCUAGGUUUGGCCAGGAUUAUGUUUUCGAUUAUGCUUUAAAAAAUCGUCCCUAUUUUCUUGUGAAACACAAUGAUAAGUUAAUAAAGAUUUAGCAUAAAUGGGGCUGACGAAUGAUGAUUGAUUGCAUUUUUCUUUUUUGGUGAUUUUUUCUAUUGUACUUAGUGUUAGGAAAUCUUUGAUUAAAUUUAAACCAAAGGAUGAAGUGGUUGGACAUUUUUCCUUCAAACCAUGAAGUAAUUUAUUUUCUACCAUUCAUAUCUCCAAAUACAAUGGUACAUUCUAUUGAUUAUUUUUUUUGUAUUUUAUAAAUUUUGAUU
rnacentral:lncRNA from 1 species